UUGGAGUUAAACCCAGAUGGCACAGGGCUGGGCUUCCAGGAGAUGGAGGACUUGAGAAGAUCCGGAAGAGAGAAUUAGACAGAAGAGAGGAACGCACCAGUGACAGCAAGGCCGUAGGUGGUUAAGCUCAGGGUGUGGAAGACUGAGGACUCCCCUCAGGCCCAGCCCAGGGCCUCACCUGAAGCCUUCACUACAGCUCCAUGAGGCCGGCCAUCACGGGCAAUGUGCCUCUGGCCAGGAAUAGUUGAUGCUUUGCCCUCUCACCCAGAGCCCCGGGGGAACACAGAGUGCACAAAGCCCUGAUUGGCUCACCUGGCAGGAUCGGCGAAUGUCACCUGCGUCUCUUGCAGUGGACUGGUGCUCAGCACCCAGAGACUGUCUUCAAAUGAUGCUCAGGAUGUCUGUCUCACGGCUGAUGAGACAGACGGUCACAGACAGGCUGGCGCAGGACAGUGCAGAUUUCAAACAGGAACUACCCUUUACCAGCUGCGAGUCUUCCCAAAUCCCCUGCCACAGUGUCAGGCCCUCUCCACCCGAGCAUAAUUGCUCCUGCCUCAGGAGGGCUGGAAUGAGGAUGAGCAGGGAGUCGCCAAAGUGCCUGCUUGGGAGCUGUCAGGUGAUACGCUAUCACUGAAGGACCCAAGACUACAGCCUGGAGACAAUUUUGGUGUGUAGAGAGCUGGUUGGGUCGUAGGGAGAAAGGGUCAAGGAUUCCCGGUCUCCAAAGGGCUUCCUCCUUGGAGGGUCUGACCACUGUAGGGUAGCCUUCCCAAGGAAGGAGGCUAGCAAUUGGUACAUAUUAGGAGCCCAAGCUUACGGUAAGUGGAGGAAAUGCCCACCGAGUGAUGUACCGGGUAAGGGUGUGCUGGGGACGAGGGCGUAUUAGAAGCCUGAGGCUUGUUCUCGUCAGGAUUCUAGCGCUGUGAGGAACAUGUGACCAAAAGCAACUUGGGGAGGAAAGGGUUAAUGUCAUCUUACCGCUUCCAGCCCAUUGCAAAGAGAAAUCAGUCAUGGCAGAAACGGAAUCAGAGGCCAGAGAGGAACGCCACUCACCGGCCUGCUCAGCCUUUCUUCUACACCCGGAGACCACCUGCCCAGCGGUGACACCACCCACCGGGAGCUGGGCCCUCCCACAUCAAUCAUGAGUCAAGAAAAUGCCCCACAGAUGGUCUACAGGCCAAUCUGAGGAAGGCAAUUUUCAACUGAGGUUCCCUCUUCCAAGACAGCUCUUGCUUGUGUCGAGUAGACAGAAACCAACUAGCACCAGAUUGGACCUUCAGAAGCUCUCAGGGCCCCACAGGCUCUUCUUCCUGCUCUGUCAGCCUUCCAGCACGGCUACAGAGCCUGCCUGGCUUCGCUCGCUGCUGCGGCUUCUGCCUCCUCUCAGGUCCCUGUGGUGUUUGUCACUGUAGAAACCAAGGACAACAGAGGCAGGACAGGAGACGGCGAAGGUGAGGGUGGCCAACGGGUGGUUCAUGAGCACACUGGAUGCGGGAGGGAGGCUGGUGGGGGUGCGGGAUACACCACCCUAUUGGACUAAAUUCAGACACGUGGCUGGGACUCCGAGAGCCUUCCAGCCAAGCCCCAGAUGCAGAGCCGGGUGACUUCUGCCCCAGACCGAGAGAGGGAAUGAUCCUUUGGGAGACUUCGGGAAGUGUGUGCAUAAUCUGUUAAAUGGCACUUAGCAGGGGCUCCGUGUGGUCCUGAAGUUGGUGAGACACUGAGUCCAGCCCAGCAGGUGCUGGGGACAACAUGACCCUAACCAGCAGCAGAGGCAAGGGCCACUCUGGUCAGGGUUCCUCGUGGUCUUGGCAGCCUUCCAGGACGCUGGGGACUGGGGUGAGCGCUUACCUGGAUAUCAUUAGGUGGGAUUCAAUCCCACACGACUACUGACACUUGCCUCUUGUGUCUUAGCUGUCCGUUGCCCCUGAGCAGCCCAGGAUCUGUCCCUGUCCCCAAGGGGACAUCCAGCUAUUCUAUCGGGUCUCCUUUGUCCUUCAGGGUGCCUCCUUCACUCAAUGUAUCAAUUAGUAUUUGUGCCCCUCCUCCAGGUAGCAGCCAUUUACCCAGUGCCAGCGAGAGAGAGGCGAUGGCCAGCUAAACCCAAGGGCUAACCAAAACAUCCACUUAGGAGGACAAGAAAACUUUCUCCAUGAUCUCACAAACAUGUCAUGGCUCAUAACCAAAAUACCUUUGUAGGGCACAAAAACCAUUUUGAGACUAGAGAGAGAUGGCUAGGUAGCAAAGAGCGCAUCUUUUUGCUUUUGCCAAACACUGGAGUUUGGCUGCCAGCACCCGCGCUGAAUAGCUCACAGCUGCCUGUAACUCCAGUUCCAGUGAAUCUGUCAUCCUCUUCUGACAUCCUCAGGCACUUGUAUACACGUGGCACACACACACAGAGGCACACAUGCAUAAAUAAAAACAAAAUAAAUAUCUUAAAAAGCACCUUAAAAAAAGAAUAACACAAAUAAGUGUUGUGGAAUAUUAUUUAACUAUGUAAAGAUGUGUUACACUUGCUUAUGCUGCGGAAUAUUACUUUAACUGUGUAAAGGUGUGUUACUUUCGUGUAUGCUGCAUUUGUUUAAUUAUGUAAAGAUGUGUUACAUUUGUUGCACCUUGCCUGCCUAAGGCACCUGAUUGGUCUAAUAAAAAGCUGAACGGCCAAUAGCGAGGCAGGAGAGGGAUAGGAGGGGCUGGCAGGUAGAGAGAAUAAAUAGGAGGAGAAACAUGGGCUCAAGAGGGGAACAAGAGAAGAAGGGAGGAGAGAAUGAGAGAGAAAGAGGGGACAUGCCCUCGGGCUGGCCAGACAGACAGGCAGACACGGAAGAAGCAGGAAAAGUAGAACAUUCAGAAAGAAAAGGCAAAAAGCUCUGAGGCAAAAGGAGCCGGCAGGCUGGUAGAAGAACACGCCUCACUCCAGCUCACUGCAACAGUACCAGAUUUCCUGGUUCCUUAGAAGGGGGGUUGCUCACACCCUUGUGGAGCCUGUUGGCAGUCUGCCUUGGUGAGCCUGAAGACUAACUGGCAGACAGAAACAUCUUAAUAAAGCAUUUUUUUUCCUGUAAGUAUAGAAGUGGUAAUAUCAGAAACAGAUUUGAAAAUCAUCAAAGAAAAGGCUGGAGUCCAUAAUGGAAUGGGAGUUUCCACAUUCUUGCAACAUGGCCCCAGAUCAGACCCAGGCAGAGCACACACCAGUUUAUUUUGAAUGCAACACAGAUCAGUGUUUUAUGAAUAUAACUUACUACAUUAAUAUCAGAUAAAAACAGCUUUCAAAUGCAUGCAUAGAAAGUUAAGCAUAGUCUUUGAGCUCCUUAUUUCUAAAUAUACAAAAAAAUACAUUUAAAUUAUAUAAUUUUAGUGAAUCAAAGACUUAUAAAAUUACAAUUUUGGUUUUCACAACAUAGAAAAAAUACAAAAAUGACUAUAUAUAUGGUUGUAUAAUUUUUUUACCCAAAUUUCAAAGGAGCAGUAUGUACUGACUUUGAUGCUUUAUAAUGGUUGAUCUGAAACUCAGAACUGAAUGUGAUUUUCAGGUUGGACCACAGCAACAUCAGGCUUUUAUUAGAAGUGCGAAGCAGCGGCACCACUGAUCCCUCAUCUUCUCUUGGGCCUGGCACUGGCUGCUGCUCUUGUUCAGUUUCCUUUUGGAGGGGCUCUCCUGGCCGGGAGGACAGCGCUAUACUCCAUGACUAACUCCACGGGGCCUUUGAUUACGGAGCAGGCAUGUGCAACCAGUGGUGUCCACCUCAGCACGAUGCACAUUAACAACAGGAGUCUACAGCGAACUGCUGUGCACCUCAAAGAACCCUUCCCUUCAAGAGGGCCCCUGGGGAAGAUCUGAGACAGUCAAGUGGGUGUGGGAAGAUGACGCCUCUGACUCUAAGUCUGACGAAGUACCCACUGAGAAGUACCUUCUUCGUUCACACCUUAUUAGACCAGACACUUGAAAGGCUGGAUGUUCUCAAUUUAUAAAAACAUGAUUACCUCAAAGGAGAAGUUAAUUCAUGUUAGGGAUGAAAAAGGACAAAAAACCUAAAACCCAGUUGCCAAGAGAGGUGACUUUGACUCAUGCCUUGCGUCUUCAGUGCUCAUGUCUAGAGGACACUGGAUUGAGACCCUUUGUGAAGGAAACUGGCGACUGUUCUCAGCACCCAAGUUCAAUGUGAUGCAGUUCAGCCGAUGCAGAGGCCCGAGGAGGCCCCUGUCCUUGGGCUGGAGAUGCGCUUCUCCUCACACCACCUUCUACAGCCGUUUCAAUGCAGCUCUAACAUUAGUCAGACACUGUAACGAGGCUGACAAACCCAAGUUGAUUCUGUGCUACACAAGUACAGUGUGGAAGAACAAAAAGCUGAAGAAAAUCUUUUCCACAUAUUUGUCUAUCAAACACCAGAACGGAUUCUGAUUUCAACACAGCCAAGUCAAGAGAGCUGCCUGGAGGCAGAAUUCUAAUGUUCCCUCUGACAAUAACUUACUACACACCUGCCUGCAUUAGCUUUUCAAGCUCCUAUGAAAACACUCAUUUGAAAAUGUAGUUUUCAUUAUAUUCUUCUGAUUGUAACCAUUAUAUUCUAAAUGACAAUGGCAGGACUUUUAAAGUCUUAAAGAUAAAAAAGAAAACAAGGGAAGAGAUGCUAUUAAUGUGCUGUUGAAGAUCAGGAGCGCAUCUGAACGUGGGCUUCACACUGUCAUCAGAACCGUGUUUUCUAUUUGUAAAAGGACAGUCUGCUGAGUGCACCGUGAGGGGCAGUGGGCAGGGCAGUAACCUGAGUUCUGCCUGUCUCCUGCAGACUUUUCCUAAAGGGACUUAGCUAGAUGGGCAGGCAGUAAGUGCUGGGAAGACAUCAUAUGAUGAUGUCCACAGUCACAAGCCACUGGCGGCUGCUCUGUGGGGACGAUACUGCUUUUAGCUCCUCCUAGACAUGUGUUGUCGCUGAACUUACAGCUUGGUGGGAAUUAACACAGGGUCACAAUCAGGAAAAGUAUCUAAACAGAAGAGUAAGAAUUAAAAUAAAAGUAAGUAUAUAAAUCUG